AUAUAUAUAGAGAGAGAGAGAGAGAGAGAGAGAGAGAGAGAGAGAGAGAGAGAGAGAGCUAGGCUGGUAUAUUAUCGGUAGUACGGAGGUCUUCGUGAUAGCAAGUUGUUUUCAAUGGUGCGGUUUUCAUAUCCACAAUCGGAUCUAUUAAACUUGAUAUGCACUAUUGAAAGUAUUUGAAAACUCAAUUUUAUAAUUUUUCGAUAUUAUUUGGCUAGUGAUCAAAAGGUCUCAAAAUUAAUAAUUUUAAUGAUCGACGGUAUAAAACAAUCCAAAUCUGAUGAAAUUUUUAUAAAAUUUUGUUUCACUAUUUAGAGUAAGAUCAAAACCUCUUAUCUUAAAUUCAAGUCUUUUAUCAUUUUUUAAUGAGAUUUUUAUUUUUAACCGUUUUUUUUUAGGCUAUUCGUUUGAUAUGUAAAUAAUGUCAAAAAUUAUAAAACUUAAUUUUCAAAUACUUUAAAUAGUAUAAAUCAAGUCUAAUAGAGCCUAUCGUCGAUUUGGAAGCUGCAUCAUUGAAAACAACUUAGUAGUAUGGAGACCUCCAUGCUACCGAUAGUAUAACAGCUGGA
rnacentral:lncRNA from 1 species